rnacentral:rRNA from 1 species
AGACAGUUCGGUCCCUAUCUGCCGUGGGCGCUGGAGAACUGAGGGGGGCUGCUCCUAGUACGAGAGGACCGGAGUGGACGCAUCACUGGUGUUCGGGUUGUCAUGCCAAUGGCACUGCCCGGUAGCUAAAUGCGGAAGAGAUAAGUGCUGAAAGCAUCUAAGCACGAAACUUGCCCCGAGAUGAGUUCUCCCUGAGACUUAAAGUCUCCUGAAGGAACGUUGAAGACGACGACGUUGAUAGGCCGGGUGUGUAAGCGCAGCGAUGCGUUGAGCUAACCGGUACUAAUGAACCGUGAGGCUUAACCUUACAACGCCGAAG